AAAAAAAAAUGGAAGAAAAAGAAAUAUAGUAAGUGCGAAAGAGAGAAAAAACAACUUAGGAGAUAAAAGCUAAGAGUCUCAGCAAGCUAAGAAUAUCUAUUUUAAGAUUAAAACCAAGAACAUUAUAGAGCAUAGUCUGUUUGGGAAAAAGAAAUAAGGUUAGUCUGGUAGAGGAGACACCAGCUUUUGGGGGGUGCACUUCCUUAUUAUCCUUAGAAUGGGAUUCUCAACCGAACAAAUUCAUUCCAACCCCUCAGCGUAAGCAAACAAAACACAACAAAAACAAAAGCAACAACUGAAAUUAAUCCUACUUAUUUUGUAAAUGAGCAGGACCCUUCCCAGGACAGACCCCUCCCCAUACUGUCUACUUUGGUUCCUCUAGGAAGUACUUAGAUAACAGUAUCUGAUGUGCAUUUUCUGAGUUGUUUUACAGAUGCUAAAACCUCCACCAAAUGGAAGAAAUUAACUACUUAUUGAUUGUGAGCAUGUAGCACCCAGACUUACUGGUGCCUAAGGACUGAUAAUGUUAACCCCUGUGAUGCCACCCUGUUACCUCACCAUCCACCAAUGAGAGAACUGUGCACCAGCAAUCACGUAACCUGAGACACCCACCCCACCCCCUACUUGCUCACCUGGCCUUCAAAAAUGCUUAUUUAAAAAAAAAAUUAUUGGAAUAUAGUUAACUUACAAAGUUGUGUUAAUUUCAGACAUACAGCAAAGUAAAUCAGUUAUACAUAUACAUUCUUUUUCAGAUUCUUUUCCCCCAUAGGUUACCAUACAUACAGUGUUAUGUAAAUCUCCCUGUGCUAUACAAUAGGUUCUUGUUACCUGUCGAUUAACCUCCUAGUUUAUCCCUCCCCUGCUACAUUUUCCCUUUGAUAAACAUAAGUUUGGUUUCAAAAUCUUUCAAUCUGUUUCUCUUUCAUAAAUUCUAUUGUAUCAUUUUGAUUCGGUUCCAUAUAAUAGUAAUCUCAUAUGAUAUUUGUCUUUGUCUGAUUUAUCUCACUCAGAAAGAUAAUCUGGACUUCCCAUCGUGGCGCAACAGAAAUGAAUCUGACUAGGAACCAUGAAGUUGUGGGUUCAAUCCCUGGCCUUGCUCAGUGGGUUAAGGAUCUGGCGUUGCCGUGAGCUGUGGUGUAGGUCAUGAUGCAGCUGAGAUCCUGCGUUGCUGUGGCUGUGGUGUAGGCUGGCAGUUACAGCUCUGAUUUGACCCAUAGCCUGGGAACCUCCAUAUGCCACGGGUGUGGCCCUAAGAAAAAGACAAAAAGACAAAAAAUAAAAGAAAGAUAAUCUCUAGGUCUAUCCAUGUUGAUGCAAAUGGCAUUCUUUCUUUCUUUUUUUAUGGCCAGGUUCUGAUUUAUCAGGUAGUGGGUAGGGGCUUGAAAUCCUUCAUUUUAAACCAGCUGCACAUGAGGCUGAUGUGAUUAUUCCAAGACAACACCUUGGGUGUCAAACCUCUAAAAGGCGGAGGAGAACAAAGAGUUAAUUCACUUCUUGGAAAGGAGAGGAAGUUUCCCUCUUCAUUCAGGCUCUGUUUAUGGAGAUAAUCUUUUCUGCAUGCAUUCAGACUUAAAGGUCAGAUCUGUUUUCUUCUCAGCAGUUGUGUGGGAAUUGCUCAUCUUGCAGUUCCUGUAUGGGGUUUGAUUACUUAAGUGGACCAGACAGCUACAGAAUAGCUAGGAGAAGAAGGCUUUCAAUAGCAUCCAAAACCCAAGGGAUCAAACCAACUAUGAACAGGCAAGCCUUCAAAGGCAACUUUGAAUGGCAUCUCCUUGAAAAAUUAGAGCCCACUAACGGUCUCCUCCCAGGCCCCUGUAGCCACACCGUGCAUGCACGCAUGCUUGCAUGCUUACAAACGUGCCUACAUAGGGAGGUAGACUUUAGACUCAGCCACAUAAACUACAGCUUCUUCAAGGGAAAAGGCUGUCCUCAAAUGUGCCACUGAAAACAUCCACAGGUCAAUCGAAGGCCCCACUGUAAAAUCAAAGUCUGUGUUUUGUAACUGCUCAGACAGUCUGACAAACCAUCCUGAAUAUCUACAUAGACUAAGAAUACUUUUGUUGUCCUGAGGCCAGAGAUGAACAAGUUUCUACUGUUAAAAUUGCACAGCUUGAUGGGGAGGCUGACAAUUAUAUAGACAAUUGCAACAUAGUAAUUAGGCUUCUAAAUAGAGUUAUUUACAGAUUGGUGAGAUGUCCAAUUCAGCCUCUGGAGGCAGAAAGCUCAGGAAUAAUUUCUCAGAAGAUAUGAUGCUUAAACUUGACCCUUCCUUUCUCACUUUCCUCCCAAGUGCCUUUAUGCAGCCGAAGAACUCUUCUACCAAGAAGAGGGUCUGUGGAAACUCUUACCUAGUAUUAUUGAUGAAGACAUAUCCUCUGAUACUUGGUCCAAUAAUAAACAUGCAUUUCCAAAGAUUUUUAGUACUGCAAGCUAUCAAGCUAUAUUGUUUUUUGUUUGUUUGUUUGUUGUCAGAUUCGUUAACCACUGAGCCACGACGGGAACUCUGGAAUGAUUUUCUUCUUCAGUGUGGAGAAGAGACAUUUCUAAGUAGCAUCCUAAGCUAAAAUGUACAUAUACGUGAGGCUAGGUUAGCAUCCAUGGAAACUAAGGAUGUCUCCCUUGGGAAUGGGCAGCUGGGUAGCAAGAAAGGGAUUGUGUCUGGAAUAGAAGAAAUACGGGCCAUUGUUGGAGAGAUUCGAGGCUAGAAAUGUGCUGCAGCUUCUAUUAAUUCCAUGUCCUUGGGUGGUAACCAACCGUGGUGUAUGCCAGGGUCUUCUGUGAAAAAGGAAGUAAUAUCUGCACCAGUUAGGGAUAUUCAAGAAAAACUGGAAAACUACUUCAAUUUGAAUUUCAGAUAAAUAGCAAAUAACUGGUUUUGCAGAAGUAUGUCCCAUACAUGGCAUGGGGGCAUAGUUACACUGCAAUCUGUACUUCGUAUGAAAUUCAAAUUGAACAGAGCAUUUUGUAAUUUUACUUGUUAAAUCUGACAACCUGAGACUCAGUCAGGUUUAGGCUAGUUUAAGCCAUAUUACACUUAACUCUAAAAUCCCAAGCAAAUUUCUGGAGUUUUCUCUGGGGUGAGAGGUUAAGAAUCCUGCUGAAGCAGUCACUGUUCAGUCCCCAGCACUGAACAGUGGGCUAAAGGAUUCCCUGUUGCCAUGGCUGCAACAUAGUUCAUAGCUAUGGCUUGGAUUCAGUCCCUGGCCUCAGAACUUCCAUUAGAAAACAAAAUAGGAGUUCCCAUCAUGGCACAGUGGCAACAAAACCAACUAGGACCCAUGAGGUUGUGGGUUCAAUCCCUGGCCUCCUCAGUGGGUUGAGGAUCUGGCGUUGUCGUGAGCUGUGGUAUAGGUUGCAGAUGUGGCUCACAUCUGGUGUCACUGUGGCUGUGAUGUAGGCUGGCAGCUGUAGCUCCAAUUAGACCCCUAGCCUAGGAACCUCCAUAUGCCACAGCUAUGGCCCUAAAAA
rnacentral:lncRNA from 1 species